UGCGGAGUAGCUUCUGCUGGUAGAAAUACGUGGCCUUGAACCACGUGUCCGUAGGUUCGAUUCCUGCCCCCGCAG
rnacentral:tRNA from 1 species